UUAACCAUACACAUGCAAGUCGGGCGGUAACAGGGAGAAGCUUGCUUCUCUGCUGACGAGCGGCGGACGGGUGAGUAAGGUAUGGGGAUCUGCCUGAAGGAGGGGGAUAACUACUGGAAACGGUAGCUAAUACCGCAUAAUGUCUACGGACCAAAGCGGGUGACCUCCGGUCCUCGCGCCAUCAGAUGAACCCAUAUGGGAUUAGCUAGUAGGUGAGGUAACGGCUCACCUAGGCGACGAUCCCUAGCUGGUCUGAGAGGAUGAUCAGCCACACUGGGACUGAGACACGGCCCAGACUCUACGCGAGGCAGCAGUGGGGAAUAUUGCACAAUGGGCGCAAGCCUGAUGCAGCCAUGCCGCGUGUAUGAAGAAGGCCUUCGGGUUGUAAAGUACCUUCAGUCGGGAGGAAGGUGUUAAGGUUAAUAACCUUGGCAAUUGACGUUACCGACAGAAGAAGCACCGGCUAACUCCGUGCCAGCAGCCGCGGUAAUACGGAGGGUGCAAGCGUUAAUCGGGAUUACUGGGCGUAAAGCGCACGCAGGCGGUUGAUUGAGUCAGAUGUGAAAUCCCCGGGCUUAACCCGGGAAUUGCAUCUGAUACUGGUCAGCUAGAGUCUUGUAGAGGGGGGUAGAAUUCCAUGUGUAGCGGUGAAAAGAGUAGAGAUGUGGAGGAAUACCGGUGGCGAACGCGGCCCCCUGGACAAAGACUGACGCUCAGGUGCGAAAGCGUGGGGAGCAAACAGGAUUAGAUACCCUGGUAGUCCACGCUGUAAACGAUGUCGACUUGGAGGUUGUGCCCUUGAGGCGUGGCUUCCGGAGCUAACGCGUUAAGUCGACCGCCUGGGGAGUACGGCCGCAAGGUUAAAACUCAAAUGAAUUGACGGGGGCCCGCACAAGCGGUGGAGCAUGUGGUUUAAUUCGAUGCAACGCGAAGAACCUUACCUACUCUUGACAUCCAGAGAACUUAGCAGAGAUGCUUUGGUGCCUUCGGGAACUCUGAGACAGGUGCUGCAUGGCUGUCGUCAGCUCGUGUUGUGAAAUGUUGGGUUAAGUCCCGCAACGAGCGCAACCCUUAUCCUUUGUUGCCAGCGCGUUAUGGCGGGAACUCAAAGGAGACUGCCGGUGAUAAACCGGAGGAAGGUGGGGAUGACGU
rnacentral:rRNA from 1 species